GGCAUACUUGAUGUGGGACACCAAGUGUUGGCUCUCAUAAUUUGCUGGUAGUGUACUUGAGAUGUUCUUCUAAAGAGGGUCGUUGAAACUUAAUUUACUUCCUGCAGUACACAAACUUGAUCAAAAUAAAAAAUAUACGGGCAACAAGGCUGGACGUAUUAAACCGACUGAUAAAGUCCGCUGUGUCUGCCAACAGAGUUUACAGUAAAUUGAACUGACCAUGUGGGAGUGUAGCAUCUUCAUCAUAAUCAUCGGUGCAUUGGUACCCAUGGCUUUUGUACCCCAUGAGGCACGGACAGUGGGAUGCGGUGGUGGUGCAAGCAAACAAGCAGAGGAUCUAGAAAAACUAGGACUACUGUUAUUGUUCCUAUCCUUUCUAGUUAACUCCUAUUAUGACCCAAGGUCAAUUGUCCUUGGUUUUCUGAGUUUACUUUUAUCAUUCUUUGUGACUUAUCAUUCCACUCCUGCAUUAUGCAACACCAUUUAUUGGACUUGUCGUGGUAGCUGCCAAAUUAUGUGCACUGGCGCUUCGAUUACACAUGCCGUUUGUGAGAUUAUCUGGGCAGAUUACAAACAUGCUUAGGUGAUGUCGAUUUAAACCCGCUUUAGAUCACCACUGUUUUGUUGCAGAUUAAACGAAAUUGUUUUCACUACAGCGUAGUCGAAAUGGUGA